UGACAAUAGCAGCAGAUAGUAUGCGGCUCAGUUAAUACUAAAAACAAUUGAUUUUAGUAAUUAGUGGACUAUGAGUGUGUGUUUGGCCAUCCAGAUUUCAUAACUACAACUGAUGUUCAAUUACAAGGGAUAUUAAUCAGUCUCCGUGGACUAUACACUGUGCCUAGUUUCAUCCUCAGAGACUGAUGUGUAAGCUUAAAGUAAAGACAUCAAAUCAAAGUAUCAGCCAUCAAGAGGAAGAACAUUCAAAAUCAUAUUGUGAUACACAAAUCAAGCAAGUCUAUGACCAGCAUUAUGAUACAGGCCAAGAAAAAGCUGGAUAUUUGAUUGGAAAGGUGGCACAAAAAAGAUGGGUUAUCACUAGGGAAACAAGCUCGGAAUA